UUUGAAAUCAGUCUCAUGUGAACGGAGACCAAGAUCAGAGAGCCCACAGAAGACCUGGUUACUAUCCUUCAGUGUUUCUGCAGCAAAGGUUGCAGUCUUCUGCAAACCAUGUGAGCAGGCCUUUGAAGGAGAGCCCUCACUGUGCAGAAGAUGAAAAAAAAUCAGCCAUCCUUUGCCAAGUUAUCUGCAUUAUCAGUGAUAAGCCAGGAAUGAAGAUUUCACAGCUUUAUUUCAUCACAAUUCUAAAAAUAAGUCACAGUGAAAUGUAAGCUACUGAAAAACGCAUUAUGAGGCCACCCUCUCACGGCCAUGUGCUUUUAACCUGGAGACAAGGGAGGGAAACUGAAGGCAAAGAUGUCCAGGAUCUUGGGGCCGGAAAGGACCCAAAAGAUGAUUGGCCCCCAUUUCCUCAUUUAUUGAGACCUGGCCAUAAAGAUGCAUGUGACUUUCUGGUGUUAGAACUCAAAUUCCAAAAUUCUAGUUCUGAGUUCCAUCCACUUUGCCAGGUUCUCUCUUUCUUUGUGGGAAGCUUUGUAACAGAGGGACUCCCUGUGGAUCCACAGGACUGGACAACUGACUCUGCGUCUGCUCAGGGAAAGCCCUCCACGCCUCCCAGGUUUCAUCAGUGGAACGCUUUAAGGAACCAAAGGAUGAAAGACACUCUUGGAGACUCUGCUCUGAUCUGACCACUUUUAAUGUCUCUCUAAAGAACGUGGAAGCGCCCAGUGCCCAGAGAGUUUUCCCUAGUGUUAACUUGUCAUCAUACUGCUUUUUUCUCCUGGAUAUUCCAAACAGGACCCAUUUGGGGGUAUUUUUUCUUAGUUUAUAUAAUAACCUCCUGCACAAAAUAUGUUGUUAUUCCUUUUACCUACCACACAUGAGAGUCAAAUGAGAUAAACCUAAAUAUUUACCCAAAAAGCAUAAAAUUACUUCAGAAGUACAUUUGACUUUAACUUCAGCUCUUCGAAAACGCCAUGGGUUUGGGUAUAUGGAUGUUUUCUGAAUUUCUUGUUUAUCCAGCUGAUUAGUCUGAGGAUGUUUCUUAAAGUCUCCAUAAUUUCCUCAUUAUGCAAAAAUCAAGAUGACUUAUGGUCAGAGUUAUUGUGAACAUAAAUAAAAUAUGAAUGCUGUCAUUGAA
rnacentral:lncRNA from 1 species